rnacentral:rRNA from 1 species
AGCGAACGCUGGCGGUAGGCCUAACACAUGCAAGUCGAACGGCAGCACAGUAAUAGCUUGCUCUUACGGGUGGCGAGUGGCGGACGGGUGAGGAAUACAUCGGAAUCUACUUUUUCGUGGGGGUUAACGUAGGGAAACUUACGCUAAUACCGCAUACGACCUACGGGUGAAAGCAGGGGAUCUUCGGACCUUGCGCGAUUGAAUGAGCCGAUGUCGGAUUAGCGAGUUGGCGGGGUAAAGGCCCACCAAGGCGACGAUCCGUAGCUGGUCUGAGAGGGUGAACAGCCACAGUGGAAGUGAGACACGGUCCAGACUCCUACGGGAGGCAGCAGUGGGGAAUAGUGGACAAUGGGCGCAAGCCUGAUCCAGCCAUACCGCGUGGGUGAAGAAGGCCUUCGGGUUGUAAAGCCCUUUUGUUGGGAAAGAAAAGCAGCAGGUUAAUACCCCGCUGUUCUGACGGUACCCAAAGAAUAAGCACCGGCUAACUUCGUG